rnacentral:rRNA from 1 species
AUUGAACGCUGGCGGUAUGCUUAAGACAUGCAAGUCGUGCGGUAGAAGGCUUCGGCCUUUGAGAGCGGCGGACGGGUGAGUAACACGUGGGAAUCUGCCUAUUAGUGGGGGACAGCCCAGCGAAAGCUGGAUUAAUACCGCAUACGCCUACGGGGAAAGGACAGCAAUGCGCUAAUAGAUGAGCCCGCGUAAGAUUAGCUAGUUGGUAAGGUAAAGGACUUACCAAGGCGACGAUCUUUAGCUGGUCUGAGAGGAUGGCCAGCCACAUCGGGACUGAGACACGGCCCGGACUCCUACGGGAGGCAGCAGUCGGGAAUAUUGGACAAUGGGCGCAAGCCUGAUCCAGCAAUACCGCGUGUGUGAAGAAGGCCUGCGGGUUGUAAAGCACUUUCAGUUGGGAAGAUAAUGACGUUACCAACAGAAGAAGCACCGGCUAACUCCGUGCCAGCAGCCGCGGUAAAGUAGUCGUG